CUUUUAGCAGCUGUGGUACAUAUUCCAUGCUUCAAGUACAUUAAAUAAUACACUGGUGUGGGAUACAUGACUUUUGCCAAUGAAUCAUGGCUAGGUGCCUAUAGGAAAACCGAUCCCUGUUAAUGAUGUGUGUGAUAUGAGACCUUUACACUGUUUGUACCGUGGGAAGCAAAUGCCCACUGCAGAACAUACAGGUCAACUUCCUGGUCACGUUGGUGAGGGUGAUCAAGGUGUAAGUGAUGCUCGGUGGCUUCAGAGGGAAUCUAUUUUAGUCAUUGUGAGUGAAAAUAGAAGGUAGGGACGCUUAACUUGUUAAUUGAUCUUUUUUGUUUCGAGAAAUUGAUGUGACUUGAGCCAAUUUAAACACUCACAACAUUGCAAUGUGGGAUGUCACCCUUGUUCAACCUAGCGUCAGACACUUGAGAAGCCAUACUUGCUGUGCUAAUACGGUUGCUGUUGCUCCGAAUGAUCAGUAUAUCUGCAGUGGGCAAGAUGGUCAUAAACUUG